rnacentral:lncRNA from 1 species
CUGGUCUCGACCUCCUGAUCUCAUGAUCCACCCGCUUUGGCCUCCCAAAGUGCUGGGAUUACAGGCAUGAGCCACCGCAGCCAGCCAACAUAGAGAUAAUCUUAAAGACUCCAUAAAAAAGAAGAAAAGUGUUAAAGCUGAUAAACACAUUCAAAAUUGAGAAUUACAAAAUUAGCAUACAAAUAGUAUUCUUGUUUCUAUACACCAGUGACAAACUAUUAACUGAAAAACAAAUUAAUGAAGUAAUUCAUUUUAUAAUAGUAUCAUAACAAAUAUAAGUAAAUAAAAGACUAAGGAGUAAUUUUAAUGAAGGAUGUGAAAUAUUUGUAUACUGAAAAUUUAUAGCCUUGUUGAAAGAAAUUGAAAGUGACAUAAGUAGAAAAACAUCCCAUAUUUAUGGAUUUGAAAAAUUAAUAUUGUCAAAAUUUCAAUGCUAACAAAAGCAAUCUGCAGAUUAAAUGCAAUCACUAUCAAAAUCCAAUGCCAUUCUUCACAGAAAUAGAAAAAUUAGUCCUAAAAUCUGAGUGGAACCACAAAAGACGCUGAAAAACCAAAGCAAUCUUGAGCAAAAAGAACAAAGCCAGAGGCAUCAGACUACUUGAUUUCAAACAAUAUUAAAAAGUUAUAGUACUUAAAACAGCAUAGCACUGGCAUAAAAACAGACACCUAGACCAGUGUGAAGGAAUAUAGAACCUAUAAAUAAAUCCAUGUGUCUGUGGUCAAUUGAUUUUUGGUAAAAGGACAAAGAAUACACAAUGGGGAAAGAAAAUUCUCUUUAAUAAAUAAUGUAGAGAAAAACUGACUAUUCACAUACAGAAGAAUAAAAUUGGAUCAUUAUUUCACUCUUUAUACCAACAUCAAUUAGCAAUGGAUGAAAGACUUAAAUAUAAACCUGAAACUGUAAAACCACUACAAGCAGAGAUAGGAGAAAACCAUAUGACAAUGGCCUCAGCUAUGAUUUUCUACAGAUGACCCCAAAAGUACAGGCAACAAAAGCAAAAAUACACAAACGAGAUUCCAUAAAACUAAGAAGCUUCUCUGCACAGCAAAAGGAACAGUAAUAGAGUGAAGAGACAACCCACAAAUGGGAAGAGAAUGUUUUUAAACCAUACCUCAGGUAAGGGGUUCAUACCAAUAAUAUGUAAGGAACUCAACCCAGAAAUGAGAAAACAAGCUUACUAAAAAAUAAGUAAAGGACUUGAAUAGACAUUUUCUAAAAACAGACAUACAGAAGGCCAGAUUUUUAUUAAAAAUGUUGAUAAAAAACAUCAACAUUCCCAAUUAUUAGAGAAAUAGAAGUCAAAACCACGAAGAUAUUACCUCAUAGAUGUUACUGAGGUUAUUAUAAAAAGAUGUGGCCGGGCACGGUGGCUCACACCUGAAAUCCCAGCACUUUGGGAGUCCAAGGCAGGUGGAUUGCCUGAGGUCAGGAGUUCCAGACCAGCCUGGCCAACAUGGUGAAUCCCCGUCUCUACUAAAAAUACAAAAAAUUAGCUGGGCGUGGUGGCACGCACCUGUAAUUCCAGCUACUCGGGAGGGUGAGGCAGAAGAAUCGCUUGAACCUGGGAGGUAGAGGUUGCAGUGAGCCAAGAUCGUGCCACUGCACUCCAGCCUGGGUGACAGAGCAAGACUUCAUCUCAGUAAAUAAAUAAAUAAAAAAAUUAAAAAAUGAUGGAAUAUAACUGUUGAUUAGAAUGUGGAGAAAACCAUUGUAUACUGUUGGUCAGAAUUGAAAUUAUUACCACCAACUUGGAAAAUAGUAUGAAGCUUUCUCAAGAAUUUAUAAAUAUAUUCACAUUAUGAUUCAUCAGUGCAUCUUCUGGAUAUAUGUCUAAAGAACUUAAAAUCAGUAUGUCAAAGAGACAACUGCAAUUUCAUGUUCAUUGCAGAGUUAUUCAUAAUAGCUGUGAUUUAGAAACAACCUAAGUGUUUAUCAACUGAAGAAUGGAUAAAAAAUAUGUGAAAAAUUGAAACCCUUAUACACAGCUGACGAGACUUUAAAACAGUCUGGCAGUUCUUCAAAAGGAUAAAUACAGAAUUACCACAUGACUCAGUAAAUUAACUCCUGUGUAUACACCAAAAAGAAAUUAAAACAAAUGCCUACACAAAAAGUAGCAUACAAGUAUUUGUAGCAACAAGAAGUAGGAAAUAACAGCAAUGUCCAUGAAUUGCGGAGUGGAUUAAUAAAAUGUGGUCUGUCCAUAAAAUAUAAUAGUAUUUGGCAAUAAAAAAGGAAAAAGGUAUUAAUACAUGCUCCAAAAAGGAUGAACAUUGAAAACAGAAGUGAAAGCAGUGAGUCACAUGUAACUAUAUAUUAUUAUGAUUCCAUUUACAUGAGAUGUCCAGAACAGGCAAAUCCUUAGUUAGGAAGUAGAUGGAUGGUUGCCUAGGGCUGGGAGGGGUUUAAAGGAAGAGUGGGGAAAAUGGGGAAAGAUUGCUAAUGGGUGCAAGGUUUCUUUUAAGGAGCAUAAAAAUGUUCUAAAAUUACAUUGUGAUUGUUUAUCCACCUAGUUAAUACUCUAAAAAAUUAAAGUUUACACUUUAAAAGAGUGAAUUAAAUAAUAUAUAAAUUAUAUCUCAAUGAACCUGUGAAAAAUAAAAAAAUAUGUGAUAUGCUUACAUAGAUAUACAAAAACUUCUGUUUAUUGUAUUUUUUUAUUUCCAUAGGUUUUUGGGGAACAGGUGGUGUUUGAUUAUAUGAGUAAGUUCUUUAGAGGUGGUUAGUGAGAUUUUGGUGCACCCAACACCUGAGCAGAAUACGCUGUAUCCAGUUUGUAGUCUUUUAUUCCUCACCCGCUUCCCACCCUUUCCCCCAAGUCCCCAAAGCCCAUUGUAGUAUUUUAAUGCCUUUGCAUCCUCAUAGCUUAGCUCCCACUUGCGGGUGAGAGCAUACUGUGUUUGGUUUUCCAUUCUUAAGUUACUUAGAAUAGUAGUCUCUGAUGUCAUCUUGCUGUGAAUGCCAUUAUUUUUUUCCUUUUUAUGGCUGAAUAGUAUUCCAUGGUGGGUGGGUGGGGGUGUGUGUGUGUAUACUAUAUCUAUAAUAUAUAUCAUAAUAUCUUAAUCUCAUUGAUUGAUGGGCAUUUGGCUGGUUAAAUAUUUUUGCAGUUGUGAAUUGUGCUGCUGUAAACAUGUGUGUACAAGUAUCUUUUUCAUAUAAUGACUUCUUUUCCUCUGGUAGAUAACUCAGUAAUGGAAUUGCUGGAUUAAAUGGUAGUUCUACUCCUAGUUCUUUAAGAAAUUUCCACGCAGUUUACCGUAGUGGUUGUACUAGUUUACAUUUCCACCAGCGGUGUAAAAGUGUUAUUUUUUCACCAUAUCCCCACCCACAUUUAUUAUUUUUUGAUGUUUUGAUUAUGGCCAUUCUUGCCAGGAGUAAGGUGGCAUGGCAUUGUGGUUUUGAUUUGCAUUUCCCUGAUCAUUAGUGAUGAUGAGCAUUUUUUCAUGUUUGUUGGCCAUUUUUAUAUCUUCUUUUGAGAAUUGUCUAUUUAAGUCCUUAUCCCAUUAUUUGAAGGGAUUGGUUUUUUUUCUGCUGAGUUCUUUGUAGAUUCUGGAUAUUAGUCCUUUGUCAGAUGUAUAGAUUGUGAAGAUUUUCUCCCAUUCUGUGGGUUGUCUGUUUACUCUGCUAAUUGUUUCUUUUGCUGUGCAGAAACUUUUUGGUUUAAUUAAGUCUCACCUGUUUAUCUUCAUUUUGUUGUCACACUUGCUUUUGGCUUCUUGGUCAUGAAGUCUCUGCCUAAGCCAAUGUGUAGAAGGGGUUUUCCAAUGUUACCUUGUAGAAUUUUUAUGGUUUCAGGUCUCAGAUUUAAGUUGACUUUUGUAUAAGGUAAGAGAUGGGGAUCCAGUUUCAUUUCUUGGGAUGUAGCUUGCCAAUUAUCCAAGCACCAUAUGUUGAGUAGAUUGUCCUUUCCCGACUUUAUGUUUUUGUUUGCUUUGUCAAAGAUCAGUUGACUGUAAGUAUUUGGGUUUAUUUCUGGGUUCUCUAUUCUGUUUCAUUGGUCUAUGUGCCUAUUUUUAUACCAGUAUCAUGCUGUUUUGCUGACUAUGGCCUUGUAGUAUAGAUUGAAGCCAGGUAAUGUAAUGCCUCCAGAUUUGUUCUUUCCGCUUAGUCUUGCUUUGGCUAUGCGGGCUCUUUUUUGGUUCCAUAUGAAUUUUCAAAUUAUCUUUUUUAGUUCUGUGAAGGAUGAUGGUGAUACUUUGAUGGAAAUUGCUUUGAAUUUAUAAAUUGCUUUUGAUGUUAUGGUCAUUUUUGCAAUAUUGAUUUUACCCAUCCAUGAGCAUGAGAGGUGUUUCCAUUUACGUCAUCUGUGAUUUCUUUCAGCAGUGUUUUGUAGUUUUCCUUGUAGAGGUCUUUUACUUCCUUGUUAGGUAUAUUCCAAAGUAUUUUAUUUUAUUUUUUUGCAGCUAUUGUAAAAGGGGUUGAAUUCUUGAUCUGAUUCUCAGCUUGCACAUUAUUGGUGUAUAGCAGAUCUUUUGAUUUGGGUACAUUAAUUUUGUGUCCUGAAUUUUUGCUGAAAUUAUUUAUCAGUUUUAGGAGCUUUUUGGAGGAGUCUUUAGGGUUUUCUAGGUAUACAAUCCAUAUCAUCAGCAAACAGAGACAAUUUGACUUCCUCUUUACCGAUCUGGAUGCCCUUUAUUUCUUUCUCUCAUUCGAUUGCUCUGGCUGGGAUUGUCAGUGCUAUGUUGAAUAGAAGUGGUGAGAGUGGGCAUCCUUGUAUUUAUUGUUGCAGUUCUCAGAGGAAAUGCUUCUAACUUUUCCCCAUUUAGUAUUAUGUUGGCUGUGGGCUUGUCAUAGGUGGUUUUUAUUACCUUAAGGUAUGUCCCUUCUAUGCCUGUUUUGCUGAGGGUUUUAAUUAUAAACGGAUGCUGGAUUUUGUCAAAUGCCUUUUCUGUGUCUGUUGAGAUGCUUAUGUGACUUUGCUUUUAAUUCUGUUUAUGUGAUUAUCACAUUUAUUGACUUGCCUGUGUUAGACCGGAAGAGCUGGGGUGUUCUCAGGAGCCACCGUGUGCCGCGGCAGCUUCGGGAUAACUUGAGGCUGCAUCCUGGGGAAGAAACACCUCCUGUCCGUGGCGCUGAUGGCUGAGGACAGAGCUUCAGUGUGGCUUCUCUGCGACUGGCUUCUUCGGGGAGUUCUUCCUUCAUAGUUCAUCCAUAUGGCUCCAGAGGAAAAUUAUAUUAUUUUGUUAUGGAUGAAGAGUAUUACGUUGUGCAGAUAUACUGCAGUGUCUUCAUCUCUUGAUGUGUGAUUGGGUUCCACCAUGUUGCCGCAGAUGACAUGAUUUCAGUACCUGUGUCUGGCUGAAAAGUGUUUGUUUGUGAAUGGAUAUUGUGGUUUCUGGAUCUCAUCCUCUGUGGGUGGACAGCUUUCUCCACCUUGCUGGAAGUGACCUGCUGUCCAGAAGUUUGAUGGCUGAGGAGUAUACCAUCGUGCAUGCAUCUUUCAUUUCCUGCAUUUCUUCCUCCCUGGAUGGACAGAACAUAAAGAAGAAGUGAGACUUGCUGAAUGAGACUCUUGAACGCUUCCUCUGACAAGCUCCAAGGCACACUGGUUGUCUUGCAGUGCUUUGGACAGCUACUCGUUUGUUGGACAAUAAUUUCCCAACAUGGGGACAACCCAGAGCAUUUUCCACUUCCAUAUUCUGCUUCAGUUGCUCAUGGUUUUGAUCGAAGCUAGACAGUGACUGAACCAGGAGGCUCAGACCCCAGGCCAGCGUGGAGUCCUGUGGUUGAAGACAGGCUGGACCAUCAGAGGAAGAAAACAAGUAGCCCUUUUUUCUGGAUUUUCACCUUCUCUGUUUUCAGGAAACCUGAAGCCAAUUAUGUUAUGCAGGCAUGACUGAAAAGAGAUUAUUUUGAGUUGUUUUGGUGGCACCAAGAAAUGUGCCAAUGUGACAGCCAAAAAAGCAGAAAGACCAAGGCAUUGAGAGUGGGAGAGCCACUGAUGAUGCUGGGUCUGGUAGGCUUUUCGAGAUCUCUCCCAGCCCCAAAACAGCCAAGCAACUCUGUCCUGGGUUGUGAGUGGGCUCAGCCGCCCCUGUGCACACCCAUGCUUGGAUUCUGGCACACAUGGCACCCACAGGAGGCAGUUCCCCCUUCAGGAGACUGGUUGGCAGGACCCUGUCUCCACACGCAAAGACAGCAGGCAGAACCCACACGUCCUCUAGUUUUCCCAGUGUCACUCGCCCAUGGGGGUUCACGAUGAGACCCCACGGGUCCAACCUGCAGGCAGAGUUGCCACCCCAGCCUGAGGCAAAGUGGACCUUUUUCUGCCAGAGGGGUCUGCUUUCCCAUUGGCCAAAAUGGCCUCAAAUGACAGGGACAGAACAAGGCACAAGUGUACCCAUUAGAGUGUCUGAGCCCGCCUGGUGUCUGCUUCCACACAUCUCCUGGGAGGUCCCAGCAGGCACCCAGGCCUGGGCCACAGCUCACCCCACAUUCAGAGGUGGGUAGCACAGCUGCCCUAUGCAGGCCUCAGGGAGGAAAGGGAGAAAGAGAUGACAAAAGCAAGACACAAGAAAUGCAGCAAAAGCACACAAACACACACACUGACACUCAUCUGGGGCAGGCCAUCCUCUCACCCAUGACCAGCAGUGCAGGCAGCUGAGAGUUGGGCAGGAGGUGGUGCCACCAUCCCCUGAGUUAGGGCCUGGAUCCAAGGAAGAACAUAGAGUCCCUAGAGUCAAGCGCCACUGACCUCAAGACCUGCAGUUUGCAGGGAGGGGAUGCUGUGAGAAGAACUGUUCUAGGUCACAGCGAAAUAUGUCUGACUUCAAGAAAAUAUUUGAAACCAAAGUACAUUUAUUGAAGACUCUCAAUGAUAUAAAAAAGCACAGUUUAGAAAAUGUGAAAGCAAUCACUGAACAUAUUCAUAUAUUUUCAUCUAAAUUUAGUUACAGAGUUUUUCUAAAACUGGGAUCAGGCCAGGUAUGGUGGCUCAGGCCUGUAAUCCUAGCACUUUGGGAGCUUGAGGCAGGAGGAUCGCUUGAGGCCAAGAGUGGAGACCAGCCUGGGCAACAUGGUGAGACCCCUCAUCUCUACCAAAAAUACAGAACUUGGCCAGUCAUGGUAGCACACUCCUGUAGUCCCAGCUACACAGAAGGCUGAGGUGGGAGAAUUGCUUGAGCCUGGGAGGUUGAGGCUGCAGUUAGACAAGACUGCACCACUGCAUUCCAGCCUGGGUGACAGCCUGUCUCAAAAAAUAAUAACAGUAAUUCCCGAUUUUAAUAAUUAUUCUAGAGUUGUGUAAAAGAAUACCCUUAGGAAAUGCACACUUUGGGGUAAUUAUGUCUAUAGUUUACACUGAAAUCAUUAAAAGAGGUAUGUAAACAGACAAAGCAAAUGGGACAAAAUGGAGCAAAUUUCUACAAAUUUUAGAAAUUGGUGAGUCUUGGUUAAGAGAAGGAGGAGGAUUCUUGGUACUAUUCUUGUGACUUUUGAAAUUAUAUAAAAAUUUUAAGUUCCUAAAAACUGGCUGUAGAACUAUACGCUCAGAGUGAGCAUUUAUUUUGUAAAAUAGUGAUUAAGACCAAAUCUUUAAUCAGUUAAAAAUCUGAUCAAAUAAAAGUAGUAAUAUAUUACGGUAUUUUUGACAUCAAAUCAUUGUAAAGGGGCAAUAACUUACAAGUUUGUCUCCAAGCACAGUACAUUUUUAUGGAUUUUUAAAGAAUUCACGUUCCCGUAAUUCUUACCUUCCUCCACCUAAAGUGACACAGUUUACCAAAUAAUUUGGAGUAAUGGUUAGAUUGGGUUAAAUUCUCAAGGCUUCCUCUUUAAAAAUCAUACAUUUAAUUCGGGUAGGGAAUGACUUGGCUUCUUUGUUCCUGUGAAAGAAGUAUAUAAAAAUGCCCCCUUAGUAACUAUGCAGUCAGCUUACUAUCUCAGCAAAGUCAUUGUGAACUUCUUCCCUGUCUCAGGUUGGAAAUAGGAACCAAUUCAAGGUAGAUUAAAGACUUAGGGCCGGGCGCAGUGGCUCAUAUCUGUAAUCCCAACACUUUGGGAGGCCGAGGUGGGUGGAUCACGAGGUCAAGAGAUCAAUACCAUCCUGGCCAACAUGGCCCGUCUCUACUAAAAAUACAAAAAUUAGCUGUGCAUGGUGGUGGGUGCCUGUAGUCCCAGCUACUCGGGAGGCAGGAGAACCACUUGAACCCGGGCGGCGGAGGUUGCAGUGAGCUGAGAUUGCGCCACUGCACUCCAAUCUGGUGACAGAGCCAGACUCCGUCUCAAAAAAAGAAAAAAAGACUUAAAUGUCAGACCUGAAACUAUAAAACUACUAGAAAAACAUAGAGAAAACUCUUCAGAACAUCGGCUUAGGCAGAUAAUUUAUGGAUGAAAUCUCAAAAGCACAGGCACCAAAAGCAAAAAUAGUUGAGUGGGCUAUAACUUCUGCACAGCAAAAGAAUCAACACAGUGAAGAGACAGCCCCUGGAGUGGGAGAAAAUAUUUGCAAAUUACUCACCUGACAGGGAACUAAUGUGCAGAGUAUAGAAGGAACUCAGACUCCUCAAAAGUUAAAAAAUCAAUGCCAUUAAAAAUAGGCAAAGGACAGGAAUAGAGACAUACAAAUGGCUAAGAUGUAUAUGAGAAACUGCUCAACUUCAUUGAUCAGGGAAAUGCAAAUCAAAACCACAGUGGGAUAUUAUCUCACCUCAGUUAGUAUGGGUAUUAUUAAAAAGACAAAAAAUAACAGAUGCUGGUGAGAAUGAAGAGAAAAGGAAACUCUGCUACACUGUCAGUAGGAAUGCAAAUCAGUACAAGCAUGAUGGAAACCAGUAUAGAGAAUUCGAAAAAAAGAAAAAAUAGAACUACUCUAUGGUCCAGCAAUCUCACUGGGGGGGUAUUUAUCCAAAGGAAAGAGUUCAGUGUAACAAAGGGGAACUUGCAUGCUCGUGUUUAUCACAGCAUUAUUCACAAUAGCAAAGACACAGGAUCAAUCCAAGUAUUCAUCAACAGAUGAGUGGAUAAGAUGUGCUAAAUAGACACAGUAAAAUACUAUUUGGCAUAACAAAUAAGGAAAUCGUGUCAUUUUCAGAAACAUUUUCAGAGACAGAAGGACAAAUACUACGGGUUCUCACUCACGUGAGAGCUAAAAAAACUUGAUCCCAUGGAAACAGAGAAUACAAUGGCAGUACCAGAGGCCAGGAAGACUGGGUAUGUGGAAGGGAGAAUGAAGAGAAGUUGGUUAUUGGGUACAAACCUACAUUUAGAAGAAAUAGGCUGUAAUGUUUGACAGCAGGCUGUGGUGGCUAAGUAAUAUUAUUAUGUGUAAAUAUUCAAAGUAACCAGAAUACGCAUUUUAUGCAUGUAACAAGUAUUUGUAUGUACCUUACAAAGAGGUAAAAUAUUAUGUGUCAAUAAGAUGGAGAGGUUAUGCCCAAGCCUCCAGAGAGGGGCUCCUUGGAUCCGCACAGCACAUCCUGCAUACCUGCAUCCACUGCUGCGCUAUGCUCCUCGUAUCUGAGCCUUCAUGCUCUGGUCCCCGAGGCAGGUGGUGCUGACUCAGGUGGCCACACUGUGGACCUGGGUGUUGGUGGCCCAGAGGGUGGGUGCUAGAGGCUUCCUGCCCUUCUUGUUCCACUGGGACCAGACGGAGCCAGGCAGUGACAGGGUACCACCUUCUUGACCGGAUCCUGGAACACAGGAGUGUCACCUGGCCCCUCGUCAUCCCAACUUAGCACCCAAAGUACCCCCGGGCCGGGGCCAUGGCUGGGCUGGAACUCAGGAUGGUUAGGAUGCAGCUCAAGCCUUGUGGCAUCUCUGGGUUCUCUGUCCACUGAGGGUGCCCUGGGAUGCAAAGCUGGUGGAAGAGGUUGGCAUUUCCCCAGCCUAUCCUCACUCAUGCCAAGCACCCCAGACUGUCCUUCCUGGUCCAUCGCCCUGGUCACAUUCCCCAGGGCAGCUCAGGGCUUUGUUCAGGGAUUUCCUGUAGUCAGGUGCCUGAUAAGUGUUGAGACGUGCAAGGCCACGUGGGCAGAUGGGGAGGUGCUCUUUGGUGAGCACCCCCAGCAGGGCAGUCCCCCACCCAGGUGUCUGCCUGCUCCUGCUUGUGUUUGACUGUUAACAGCGCUUCAUGCCAGGGCCACCAGCUCCCAUCCCUCCUGUCAGGAAGGACACAGACAGCAAGUGCCUGGGUGGUAAGGCAUUUGCCAGGUAACACAGGUGGCAAGUGCCAGAGCUGGGAUUUGAACCCGGAUCAUGGCACUCUGUGUGGGGCAAUGGAAGGUUUGAGAACGCCCAUGUAGGAAGGAAGGGCAGCCUGGCCCCACUGAGCCCAGCUGCUCCCUGUGACCCUGGAGGAAACUAUUCAGCCCCCAGCUGGGGAGAGAGUCCAGGAGGCCAGGCUUCCCCUUGCUUCCUGGCUCAGGGGAUCACAGAGGGACAAGGAAAUUUAGUGUAUGUGUCUUCUUUUUGUUUCAUUCAAAGUUUAAUUUAGUAUCAAGCAAGAGGAGCUUUAGUAUCAAGCUCCUCUUUUUAGUAUCAAGCAAGGUAGCUUAACCCUUCAUAAGACUUCAGUUACAAAAUAGUACUUUUUUUUUUUUGCACUUGUGAUUGGCUUCCCCUCUACUUCUUUUGGUAAGAGUAGGUUGGUGUCCAGGCUCAGAAUCCAUUUUUCCUCCCACACCAAAGCACCUGUGGUUUGGGUGAAGCAGCCUGGAGCCUGGCUGCAUAAAGCUUUGCAGCAGGAGGGUCCCGGUAGGAGGGUCGAGGUGCUACUUGCCCUGGUCCAGCUCAGAGGCCAGCACCAGGGAGGCUCAGUGUCCUGUUCCCAGGAUCUGCACAUGGGGUUGCCUUUCUGCAUCUCCCCAUCAGAGUGGUAGGUGCUCCUCCAAGCCCCCUCAUGCCGGCCUGGACACAGCGGUCUGCACCUUGACCCUAUUGCAUGCCAGUGGAGCAGAGCCCCCCAGGCCAGAAGCCCCACAGCUGUUGGCCCUGGCUUGGACACUGGGCAGGGGGCACCAGGGCAGGAGCUGGCUGCAAUCCUGUGGCCCCAAAUGCCCCCUCGCUGAUGGCCUCAUGUUCUGUUCUGGGUGCGGAGCAAAGAGGAGCAGGUGUCGAAGGCACCUCAGGCAGGCGCUGGGCUUAAUGGGCGUCUUGUGCUCCAUGAUUUUGAGGCCAUUUGCAGCCAGCUCCGCCAGCCCGAGCUCCGAGCUGCAGCUGCUGCCAUGCACAACAGCACCGCCAGGAGUGUCCUGGGGGCUUUCUUCAGGGGAGGCUGUCAGCAUCCUCAAGUUCCAGCUGCUUAGCCCCAGUCCUCCUUCAAGAGGCUUUUUUUUUUCACCAGCGGCUUCUCAAUGGCCUGAAAGCUCAGCUGACUCCCACAAAGUUUGCCGGGAACACAGGGCUGUCAGUGACAUUCCUGGCGCCAAGACUUAAGCACGUGGGUUGCACGCAUCGGCCAGUGUCUGUGCCACGUACACUGACGCCCCCUGAGAUGUGCACACCGCACGCGCACGUCGCACGCGCGGCAGCGGCUUGGCUGGCUUGUAACGGCUUGCACGCGCACGCCGCCCCCGCAUAACCGUCAGACUGGCCUGUAACGGCUUGCAGGCGCACGCCGCACGCGCGUAACGGCUUGGCUGCCCUGUAACGGCUUGCACGUGCAUGCUGCACGCGCGUUAACGGCUUGGCUGGCAUGUAGCGGCUUGGCUUGGCUUUGCAUUCUUUGCUUGGCUUGGCGUUGGUCGCUUGGAUUGACGCUUCCUCCUUGGAUUGACGUUUCCUCCUUGGAUUGACGUUUCCUCUCUCGCGUUCCUUUGCUGGACUUGACCUUUUC